GAGAAAACACUCUAGUAACUCUUCCCUGGCUUGUGGUGGUUUUGAAGGGAAGUAAAUAAUUCCCCAUUUCACAAUCUCAAGGAAAACACCUGUGAAAGAGGAAAGGGCCUAAUGAAGGAAUCAGCCUGAAUAUGCUUUAAGAUGAUGCAUGCAGAUAAAAGAUGAAUGCUGCCUUAGAAACUUAAAUACUUAAAUUGUAAAAAAAAAAAAAAACAAACAAAAAAAAAACAAA